UCCGUAGGUGGCGAUCGUUGUCCGGAUUUACUGGGUGUAAAGGGCGUGUAGGCGGGCUUUUAAGUCAGAUGUGAAAUGCCGCAGCUCAACUGCGGAACUGCAUUUGAAACUGAAAGUCUUGAGUGUCGGAGAGGAAAGCGGAAUUCCUAGUGUAGCGGUGAAAUGCGUAGAUAUUAGGAAGAACACCGGUGGCGAAGGCGGCUUUCUGGACGAUAACUGACGCUGAGGCGCGAAAGCGUGGGGAGAAAACAGG
rnacentral:rRNA from 1 species